rnacentral:rRNA from 1 species
UACAGGGGGUGCAAACGUUGCUCGGAAUCAUUGGGCGUAAAGCGCACGUAGGCGGUUCGUUAUGUCGGAUGUGAAAGCCCUUGGCUUAACCGAGGAAGUGCAUCCGAAACUGGCGAGCUAGAGUACUAAAGAGGAUCGCGGAAUUCCCGGUGUAGAGGUGAAAUUCGUAGAUAUUCGCAAGAACACCAGUGGCGAAGGCGGCUCACUGGCCCGAUACUGACGCUGAGGCACGAAAGCGUGGGAGCAAACAGG